rnacentral:piRNA from 1 species
UUGACUUCCGCAUACACAGAAGUUUUUGCC